GACGUAGGGCGCGAGCGUUGUCCGGAAUUAUUGGGCGUAAAGAGCUCGUAGGCGGUUUGUCGCGUCUGCUGUGAAAACCUAAGGCUCAACCUUGGGCUUGCAGUGGGUACGGGGCAGACUAGAGUGCGGUAGGGGAGACUGGAAUUCCUGGUGUAGCGGUGAAAUGCGCAGAUAUCAGGAGGAACACCGGUGGCGAAGGCGGGGUCUCUGGGCCGAUACUGACGCUGAGGAGCGAAAGCCGUGGGGAGCGAACAGG
rnacentral:rRNA from 1 species